GCUUAGCCCUAAACUUGAAUAAUUUAAUAACAAAAAUAUUUGCCAGAGAACUACUAGCCAUCGCUUAAAACUCAAAGGACUUGGCGGUACUUUAUAUCCGUCUAGAGGAGCCUGUUCUAUAAUCGAUAAACCCCGCUAUACCUCACCAUCCCUUGCUAAUUCAGCCUAUAUACCGCCAUCUUCAGCAAACCCUAAAAAGGUACCAAAGUAAGCACAAGAAUAAGCAUAAAAACGUUAGGUCAAGGUGUAGCCAAUGGGAUGGGAAGUAAUGGGCUACAUUUUCUUCAAAAAGAACAUUACGAAUCCCUUUAUGAAACUAAAGGGUGAAGGAGGAUUUAGUAGUAAAUUAAGAAUAGAGAGCUUAAUUG
rnacentral:rRNA from 1 species